rnacentral:rRNA from 1 species
GACGAACGCUGGCGGCGUGCCUAAUACAUGCAAGUCGUGCGGACCUUGUUGAAAGCUUGCUUUUAAAAGGUUAGCGGCGGACGGGUGAGUAACACGUGGGCAACCUGCCUGUAAGACUGGGAUAACGCCGGGAAACCGGGGCUAAUACCGGAUCGUUUUUUCCUCCGCAUGGAGGAAAAAGGAAAGGCGGCUUCGGCUGCCACUUACAGAUGGGCCCGCGGCGCAUUAGCUAGUUGGCGGGGUAAUGGCCCACCAAGGCAACGAUGCGUAGCCGACCUGAGAGGGUGAUCGGCCACAUUGGGACUGAGACACGGCCCAAACUCCUACGGGAGGCAGCAGUAGGGAAUCUUCCGCAAUGGACGAAAGUCUGACGGAGCAACGCCGCGUGAGUGAAGAAGGCCUUCGGGUCGUAAAACUCUGUUGCCGGGGAAGAACAAGUGCCGUUCGAACAGGGCGGCGCCUUGACGGUACCCGGCCAGAAAGCCACGGCUAACUACGUG